AGUCGAGGGGCAGCGGGAUUGAAGCUUGCUUCAAUUGCCGGCGACCGGCGCACGGGUGAGUAACGCGUAUCCAACCUUCCGUACACUCAGGGAUAGCCUUUCGAAAGAAAGAUUAAUACCUGAUGGUAUGAUGAGAUUGCAUGAUAGCAUCAUUAAAGAUUUAUCGGUGUACGAUGGGGAUGCGUUCCAUUAGGUAGUAGGCGGGGUAACGGCCCACCUAGCCAACGAUGGAUAGGGGUUCUGAGAGGAAGGUCCCCCACAUUGGAACUGAGACACGGUCCAAACUCCUACGGGAGGCAGCAGUGAGGAAUAUUGGUCAAUGGACGAGAGUCUGAACCAGCCAAGUAGCGUGAAGGAUGAAGGUCUUACGGAUUGUAAACUUCUUUUAUAAGGGAAUAAAACCUCCCACGUGUGGGAGCUUGUAUGUACCUUAUGAAUAAGCAUCGGCUAACUCCGUGCCAGCAGCCGCGGUAAUACGGAGGAUGCGAGCGUUAUCCGGAUUUAUUGGGUUUAAAGGGAGCGCAGACGGGUCGUUAAGUCAGCUGUGAAAGUUUGGGGCUCAACCUUAAAAUUGCAGUUGAUACUGGCGUCCUUGAGUGCGGUUGAGGUGUGCGGAAUUCGUGGUGUAGCGGUGAAAUGCUUAGAUAUCACGAAGAACUCCGAUUGCGAAGGCAGCGCACU
rnacentral:rRNA from 1 species